rnacentral:misc_RNA from 1 species
AAGUCGUAACAAGGUUUCCGUAGGUGAACCUGCGGAAGGAUCAUUACAGUGCUCGUCGGUACGCCGCGCCUCCGGGCGUGGGCGUGCCGCACCUGCCCCACCCGUGUCUACCUUUACCUUCUGUUGCUUCGGCGGGCCCGCCUUGCCACGUAGGCACGCCUACCACCCCCUCCUAACCACGGAGACGAGGGAGUAAGCGUGCCUACGCAGCGGGCGGACCGGGGACCCCGCGUACCCACGCGGCCCCUGGCCAGCGCCCGCCAGAGGACCGUCUGAACCUUCUUGUGAAUACACGACCAGUCUGAGAUUUUAUAUCAAAAAUACAGUCAAAACUUUCAACAACGGAUCUCUUGGUUCUG